UAGGGAAUCUUCCACAAUGGACGCAAGUCUGAUGGAGCAACGCCGCGUGAGUGAAGAAGGUCUUCAGAUCGUAAAGCUCUGUUGUUGGUGAAGAAGGAUAGAGGCAGUAACUGGUCUUUAUUUGACGGUAAUCAACCAGAAAGUCACGGCUAACUACGUGCCAGCAGCCGCGGUAAUACGUAGGUGGCAAGCGUUGUCCGGAUUUAUUGGGCGUAAAGCGAGCGCAGGCGGAAUGAUAAGUCUGAUGUGAAAGCCCACGGCUCAACCGUGGAACUGCAUCGGAAACUGUCAUUCUUGAGUGCAGAAGAGGAGAGUGGAACUCCAUGUGUAGCGGUGGAAUGCGUAGAUAUAUGGAAGAACACCAGUGGCGAAGGCGGCUCUCUGGUCUGCAACUGACGCUGAGGCUCGAAAGCAUGGGUAGCGAAA
rnacentral:rRNA from 1 species